UACGAAGGGGGCUAGCGUUGCUCGGAAUCACUGGGCGUAAAGCGCACGUAGGCGGAUUGUUAAGUCAGGGGUGAAAUCCUGGAGCUCAACUCCAGAACUGCCUUUGAUACUGGCAAUCUCGAGUUCGGGAGAGGUGAGUGGAACUGCGAGUGUAGAGGUGAAAUUCGUAGAUAUUCGCAAGAACACCAGUGGCGAAGGCGGCUCACUGGUCCGGUACUGGACGCUGAUGUGCGAAAGCGUGGGGAGCAAACAGG
rnacentral:rRNA from 1 species